rnacentral:rRNA from 1 species
AAAAAAGCAGUCUCAGUUCGGNUUGAAGGCUGAAAUUCGCCUUCAUGAAGCCGGAAUUGCUAGUAAUGGCAGGUCAGCAUACUGCCGUGAAUACGUUCCCGGGCCUUGUACACACCGCCCGUCACACCAUGAGAGUUGGGAAUACCCGAAGCCUGUGAGCUAACUUUUACGAGGCAGCAGUCGAAGGUAGAAUCAAUGAUUGGGGUGAAGUCGUAACAAGGUAAC